UAUGUAUAUUUUGUUCAUAAUAUUACUAAAAAGUAUUGUAUUUCCCGAGGACUCUUGACAUUUCUAUAAAUAAACCGGUAUAAAUUGGUAGGAGUAACCCUUGGUCAAUCAUUUGCUGCUAUCGAAUCAUACGAGAAGUGCGCCAGACUUUGUUCCCGCAGUGCUAGUAAUUGUGUUGUAUUGUGCAUAUUUCAAAGUCUAAGAAUCUCAUUCAGCAAUAAUAAGUCAGCAUGAGGAUACAAAAAUUUAACACAUUGUUGGCCAAAGAGUCGAAGCCGCAUGUCCUAAAAAACUGCAGUCUCGUUAUAGACGCACAGAACUAUUUCUAUGAAAUGUACAAGAAAAGUGAGCUUUCGGCUAAUUACGGCUGUGAAAGUAACCAUUUUGCGAAUUUCUUGAAAAAUGAACUCGGCAAGUUUAUCAAAGCCAAUGUAAAGUGUUACUUUAUUUUCAAAGGAGGGUCGAAAGAUAUCGAAAAGCGACGCAAUAAAAAAAUGACUCAGUAUUACGGAAACUUUGUAUCGACAGUGUUCAUGAAAACUAUUUGCAGACAGGUGCUGGAAGAGAUGGGCUUCGACUACGUUAUAUGCGAAUUGGAAGCCAAGGAGCAAUGUGUCGCGCUCGCUAACAAACUGAAAUAUCCAACCAUGAGCAACGACAUUGAAGUAGGCAUCUUAAGUAAUUCCUACAUCAAUUAUUAUCAAGUUUCUUUCAAUCCUACCACGAAUGGCAUUCAGUGUAAAUUGCUACGAUUUAGCAAUUUCUUAAGAAAAUAUAAAUUAACUAUAGAGAAGUUUUCCGUUUUAUUUUGGUUACCGACACAACAAUUUAUCCCGAAGGAUUUUUCGCUGACUUUUUGAAAAGAUUUGAAGUACGAAAUCAGCUUGCUGCUCAAUAUGAAAUAAUACUUCGAUGGCUAUCAAGUCAAUCAAAAGACGAAGCUCUUAAUGAAGUUACAAAAACAUUCAAACCGAAAGAAAGGAAUGAUAUCUUACUAAAAGAAAAGGAUAUAUUAAAUGCGCUUCGCACUCCACCGUCACUCGGUAUACCCUAUCAUUACUUCUUUAACAAACAACAGAUCCACAUUACGCCUAAUGAUCUGCAGUGGUUCGAGAAAGGCAUAGCUUUAAGAUACAUCGCCAUACCGUAUAUAAACUUGUACACCCAGGGUAUUAUCGAUGGUGGUUGGGCAUUUCAUGACCGUUCAAUGCCUGAUGCACUCCUGUUUUCUGCGGACAUCAUCAAGUAUGCCCUCAACUUAUUAUCCAACUACAGCAGAGACUCUUUCCAAAUUGAAAGAGAUAAUGGCGAAAGUAUUAAAGUUAGCACGAAAAUGCCGGAUGUUCCAAAACCAGAUUAUACGGUCAGCAACGUCAUAUUCGAGGACGGUUGGGAUCGCGUCGAAAAGCUUCGUUUAUUGGAACAUUUUUAUAGGCACACUAUCAGAGGUGCCAAAUGGGAAUUCUUGCAAGCAUUGCCGUGUGAGGCAAGAUUGUUGAUGGUGGCUCUGGUCUACAUGGCGCAGAAGCACGACACGUGGGGGGAACGCGAGGCGUACAGCGUGCUGCUGUCGUUCGCGGUGCUAUGCAACGACGACAUCAAUAUGGAAAAGCACGACCGCGACUGCGCCCUUCUAGACCUCACUCAAAAUUACAUGACGGAAUGUGAAAUUGAUAAAACGCUAGUUUACCCCAUGUUCCAGUUCCAAUACUGUCUCGAGCAUAUGAAUUAUUUGAACGCGCUAUGUGGUUUCCAAUACAAAGCUACAAUUUACAGCAAAACCAAUAACAGCAAGUUAAUCUAUAAUGUUCUGAAGAAGUUAAAUGAGUCCGAUGUUGAUCCACUCGCACAAAUAUCCCAGAUUUUGAAAUCGGCGCCGACUGUUGUAAACUUUAUAAAGAAGCUUGUAGACACAAACAAAAGAAUCAUGCCAUUUAAAAAUUUAUUGUAAGGUAAUGAAACCCUCGGAGGCGCACAAUUUUUUAAAUCUUCAUAAAAUCCUUUAAUAAAUAAUAUAAGAGAAACCUUUGAUUAAAUUGCAACAUAACUACAUAUUAUAAAUUUAAUAUUAAAAGAACUAAUAAAUAACGUCAGUAUGAACAAAUAACACCUAAAGCAUAGAUAGUGGGCCUUGUUAGGAACCGGGCUAUCUUCAGUUUGUCGAUUGAUAUAUCUCAAUUCGCUAAAUAUACAUCUUAUUGUUUAGGUCAUGUUCACAUUUCGUUAAGGAUCUAAAUAUAUCAUGAUAUCCUGUUCCAACAAUGCCCGCCCUCGGAUAUUGAAGCGACUUAAUACUAAUUGUAUUAAAUAUUAUUGUGCUAAGAAGUUUUUAAAACCAUUUUUUUUUUAUUCUAUUUAGAAGUAUUUUUUUAUGUUCUUGGGCUCACCAUUUCUCGGGCUGUAUUUACACCCAUACUGUUACAAUAUUUUGUAUAAAACAUUUACGAGUUGAUUACGGUAGUUUACGAUUAAGUUAUAUCUAUCUAUGUAUCAUUGAAUGAAUCAAUAUUUUUUUAUUUUAUAUAAAAAAUACAUUUAUUACAUAAAAUUUAGUAUAGCGGUGGGAGAAUUCAUUUUUGUAAUAUACUAGCUUUUGCCUGCAGCUCAGCCCGCGUGUCAAGUUUUUCCGGCAUAAAAAGCAGCACUAGAAAGUAGUACAGCUUCCUAUUAGUGAAAAAAUCAAAGUCAGUUCAGUAGUUCUUGAGAUUUGCGCGGUCAAACAAAGAUAAAAACUUAACUUUUUAUAACAAGAUUAAAUCAAUGUUACUAAAAUUAUCAUGAACAAGCUUUGUCUAUGGGUAUGUUUUUCGUAGGUAACCUAUUCAGCUAUUUUAGUUCAUAAAAACCAGAUAUUAAAACAAUAUAAUUAUCACCUUUAACGCGGGUUGAGACGGAGGCAAAAGCUAUUCAUGAUUUAUAUGUUAUAUAAAAAAAAAUAUUCAAGUAAAAUAAGGCUACAGAAGAUAAUUGCCAGUGGUUUCCACAUUACGCUGAGCCUGUGUUUUGCGAAACGAAUUAUUAUUAUAUAAAUGAUUAUAAUUUGAUAAGCGUAAGUUAGUGAGCAUUUAUAUUUUGUAUUCGUGUGUAUAAGUUAAGAAUAGAGUUAAUGUGAGAUUAUUCUUAUAACUACUGCUAUUGUACAUUACAGUGAUAGACAGCAAAUAAUACAGUGACAUCGCUGAAGUGAUGAUAUUCACUGCCUAGGACUGUUUUAUUACUGUACUAUUUUCUAGGAUAACAAUCAGAUUGUCUUCAAAGAAACGUAUGUCCAUUACAAUCCAAUUGUUUAUAUUGACUGUUAAAAAUAAAUUUAAUAAAUUUAUAGUAAUCAAAA